rfam:Brassica napus, WGS project CCCW01000000 data, contig: 22005
AUGAAUUGUUGAUUAGUAGCACGUCGGGCUCGAGUGUAAAAGAGACGGGUGUUACAGAACGCCUCUAAGUCAGAAUCUGGGCUAGAAGCGACACAUGCGCCCACCGCCCGAUUGCCGACCCUCAGUAGGAGCUUCCGCUCUGAAAGGCACGUGUCGUUGGCUAAGUCCAUUUGGCGGAAACGCCGUUCGGACCGCCUUGAAUUAUAAUUACCACCGAGCGGUGGGUAGAAUCCUUUGUAGACGACUUAAAUACGCGGCGGGAUAUUGUAAGUGGCAGAGUGGCCUUGCUGCCACGAUCCACUGAGAUUCAGCCCUUUGUCACUAAGAUUC